rnacentral:rRNA from 1 species
GUCUACGGCCAUGCAACCUGAACAAGCCCGAUCCCAUUUGAUCUUGGAAGCUAAGCAGGGUCGGGCCUGGUUAGUACUUGGAUGGGAGACCACCUAGGAAGACCAGGUGCUGUAGGUG